rnacentral:lncRNA from 1 species
AGGGGGCUCCAGCUGAAGGAAGAGAGGGCACUGUGACUUCACUCCACUCCACUCCCACUCCCUUCUCCUGACCUUUGCCCAGAGCACCAGCCAAUUCUGGAUCCUUGAUGUGGAUUCUUCGCUAAGCAGGGGCCUCCUUUAACAGAAAAUGCUUUACAUAGGUCUCCUUGUGCCCUGAACUCCUCCCUCCGGUGCCUCAGGGCCCAGAUGACAGCCAUUUAGCUGUCCUGGGGCCUGGUCCAGCUGCGUGUAAUGUGAUGCUGCUCCUUGGAGGCCACCAACGGUCCCAGGCUUUCCCAGGCCAAACGUGGAGAGGAGAUACCACAUCAAGAGGUUGGAGGGGCUGGUGGACAAAGACCACGAGCACAGAAAUCAGGAACUGGAAAGACAACAACCAUCCUGGGCCAAGCCACCAUCCCCUCCUGCCUGGAUGACAACAGCAGCUCUGGGACACCCCCUUGCAUCCAAGCUUGCCUCCUCCCCUUCACCAUUGCCCACGGAAAUGAAGCUGGAUUGGUCUUCCUAAAGCGAGAAUAAACUCAUCUGCCACAAACCCCUGAGGCCUCCAUUCUUCUCAGUGCAGAGUCUGAACUCCAUAGUGUGGCUACCAAGACCUUCUUACCUGGUCCUGACCACCUCUCCAGCGCAGCGGCGCCACUGUGACCUCACACAAGAUGCCCAGCCAGACAGAACUACCUGCUCCUGCCGCCGCUGCUGCUAC